rnacentral:rRNA from 1 species
GACGAACGCUGGCGGCGUGCUUAACACAUGCAAGUCGAACGGAAAGGCCCUGCUUGCAGGGUGCUCGAGUGGCGAACGGGUGAGUAACACGUGGGUGAUCUGCCCCUUACUUUGGGAUAAGCCUGGGAAACUGGGUCUAAUACUGGAUAGGACCAUGCUGUAGGUGGUGUGGUGGAAAGAUUAGUUUCGGUAAGGGAUGAGCUCGCGGCCUAUCAGCUUGUUGGUGGGGUAAUGGCCUAACAAGGCGUCGACGGGUAGCCGGCCUGAGAGGGUGGACGGCGACAUAGGGACUGAGAUACGGCCCAGACUCCUACGGGAGGCAGCAGUGGGGAGGAUUGCACAAUGAGCGCAAGCCUGAUGCAGCGACGCCGCGGGGGGGAUGACGGCCUUCGUGUUGUAAACUCCUUUCAGCCAUGACGAAUCCCUUGUGGUGACGGUAGUGGUAGAAGAAGCACCGGCUAACUACGUG